CCUACGGGUGGCAGCAGUGAGGAAUAUUGGUCAAUGGACGAGAGUCUGAACCAGCCAAGUAGCGUGAAGGAUGACUGCCCUAUGGGUUGUAAACUUCUUUUAUAUGGGAAUAAAAUGUUCCACGUGUGGGAUUUUGUAUGUACCAUAUGAAUAAGGAUCGGCUAACUCCGUGCCAGCAGCCGCGGUAAUACGGAGGAUCCGAGCGUUAUCCGGAUUUAUUGGGUUUAAAGGGUGCGUAGGUGGAUUGUUAAGUCAGUUGUGAAAGUUUGCGGCUCAACCGUAAAAUUGCAGUUGAAACUGGCAGUCUUGAGUGCAGUAGAGGUGGGCGGAAUUCGUGGUGUAGCGGUGAAAUGCUUAGAUAUCACGAAGAACUCCGAUGGCGAAGGCAGCUUACUGGACUGCAACUGACACUGAGGCUCGAAAGUGAGGGUAUCAAACAGGAUUAGAUACCCCUGUAGUC
rnacentral:rRNA from 1 species